rnacentral:RNase_P_RNA from 1 species
ACAGUUUUCUGAGGAAAGUCCGGGCUCCGCAGGGCAAGAAUAACGGCUAACGGCCGUCGGGGGCGACCCUAGGGAAAGUGCAACAGAGAUAUACCGCCGACAAAAGUCGGUAAGGGUGGAAAGGCGAGGUAAGAGCUCACCGUCGGCUUUGGGAACUCAGCCGACCUGUAAACCCUAUUCGGAGCAACACCGUGGUACAAGACAUUGAAGUAUCUGCCCGAUACGUCUUAGGAGGUGGCACUCGAGCAGCUUCGGUAACGAACUGCCAAGAUAGAUAGUCGUUCAAGACAGAACGCGGCUUACAGGCUUAGUCA